UAAGCGAGUAGUGAAAGCGUGCGGCUUAACCGCAUACACAUUAUUCGAACUGCAAAGCUAGAGGACAAGAGAGGUUAUUGGAAUUCCCAGUGUAGGAGUGAAAUCCGUAGAUAUUGGGAGGAACACCGAUGGCGUAGGCAGAUAACUGGCUUGUUCCUGACACUAAGGCACGAAAGCGUGGGGAGCGAACGGGAUUAGAUACCCCGGUAGUCCACGCCGUAAACUAUGGAUGCUA
rnacentral:rRNA from 1 species